UAGUCCACGCCGUAAACGAUGUCAACUAGCCGUUGGGGGGCUUGACCCUUUAGUGGCGCAGCUAACGCAAUAAGUUGACCGCCUGGGGAGUACGGCCGCAAGGUUAAAACUCAAAUGAAUUGACGGGGGCCCGCACAAGCGGUGGAGCAUGUGGUUUAAUUCGAUGCAACGCGAAGAACCUUACCAGGUCUUGACAUCCUGAAAACUUUCUAGAGAUAGAUUGGUGCCUUCGGGAAUUCAGUGACAGGUGCUGCAUGGCUGUCGUCAGCUCGUGUCGUGAGAUGUUGGGUUAAGUCCCGUAACGAGCGCAACCCUUGUCCUUAGUUACCAGCGCGUUAUGGCGGGGACUCUAGGGAGACUGCCGGUGACAAACCGGAGGAAGGUGGGGACGACGUCAAGGUCAGUCAUGGCCCUUACGACCUGGGCUACACACGUGCUACAAUGGACAGUACAAAGGGUCGCGAAAGCGCGAGCCGGAANAUACCACUAAACUAGUUCGUAGUACCGGACGUUGGUAGUCUGCACUACGACGUA
rnacentral:rRNA from 1 species